rnacentral:rRNA from 1 species
UACGUAGGGUGCGAGCGUUGUCCGGAAUUAUUGGGCGUAAAGGGCUCGUAGGCGGUUUGUCGCGUCGGGAGUGAAAACACCGGGCUUAACUCGGUGCUUGCUUCCGAUACGGGCAGACUAGAGGUAUGCAGGGGAGAACGGAAUUCCUGGUGUAGCGGUGGAAUGCGUAGAGAUCCGGAAGAACACCGGAGGCGAAGGCGGCUUGCUGGACCUGGUCUGACGCUGAGGCGCGAAAGCGUGGGGAGCGAACAGG